GCUUGCUCUCUGGAUCAGUGGCGAACGGGUGAGUAACACGUGAGCAACCUGCCCCGGACUCUGGGAUAACAGCUGGAAACAGCUGCUAAUACCGGAUACGAGCUGCGAAGGCAUCUUCAGCAGCUGGAAAGAAUUUCGGUCCGGGAUGGGCUCGCGGCCUAUCAGCUAGUUGGUGAGGUAAUGGCUCACCAAGGCGUCGACGGGUAGCCGGCCUGAGAGGGUGACCGGCCACACUGGGACUGAGACACGGCCCAGACUCCUACGGGAGGCAGCAGUGGGGAAUAUUGCACAAUGGGCGAAAGCCUGAUGCAGCAACGCCGCGUGAGGGAUGACGGCCUUCGGGUUGUAAACCUCUUUUAGCAGGGAAGAAGCGAAAGUGACGGUACCUGCAGAAAAAGCGCCGGCUAACUACGUGCCAGCAGCCGCGGUAAUACGUAGGGCGCAAGCGUUAUCCGGAAUUAUUGGGCGUAAAGAGCUCGUAGGCGGUUUGUCGCGUCUGCUGUGAAAACCCGAGGCUCAACCUCGGGCCUGCAGUGGGUACGGGCAGACUAGAGUGCGGUAGGGGAGAUUGGAAUUCCUGGUGUAGCGGUGGAAUGCGCAGAUAUCAGGAGGAACACCGAUGGCGAAGGCAGAUCUCUGGGCCGUAACUGACGCUGAGGAGCGAAAGGGUGGGGAGCAAACAGGCUUAGAUACCCUGGUAGUCCACCCCGUAAACGUUGGGAACUAGUUG
rnacentral:rRNA from 1 species